rnacentral:tRNA from 1 species
GCCAGUGUGGUGUAGUGGUUUGUGUGUUGGACUAUGACUCUGGAGACCAGGGUUCAAAUCCCCCCCUUGGCC